UAGCACUACUUGUUUACAUGCUUUUCAAAAGACAAGGAAAAGAAAUACAAGCUAGUUUGACUUGAAGGGAACAUAGAGAAUUUAGAGCAGCCUUCCCCUCUUGCACUUAAAGGACUUUGAUAAUUUCCACUAGCAUCGUGCUUCAAAUUCCUAACCUGCAAAACACCAUAACAAGA